rnacentral:rRNA from 1 species
GACGAACGCUGGCGGCGUGCUUAACACAUGCAAGUCGAACGGAAAGGCCCUGCUUUUGUGGGGUGCUCGAGAGGCGAACGGGUGAGUAACACGUGAGUAACCUGCCCUUGACUUUGGGAUAACUUCAGGAAACUGGGGCUAAUACCGGAUAGGAGCUCCUGCUGCAUGGUGGGGGUUGGAAAGUUUCGGCGGUUGGGGAUGGACUCGCGGCUUAUCAGCUUGUUGGUGGGGUAGUGGCUUACCAAGGCUUUGACGGGUAGCCGGCCUGAGAGGGUGACCGGCCACAUUGGGACGGAGGUGCGGCCCAGAAUCCUACGGGAGGAAGCAGUGGGGAAGAAUGCACAAUGGGCGGAAGCCUGAUGCAGCAACGCCGCGGGCGGGAUGACGGCCUUCGGGUUGUAAACCGCUUUCGCCUGUGACGAAGCGGGAGGGGCGGUAAUGGGUAAAGAAGCACCGGCUAACUACGUG